UUGGAGGAUUUGAAUACUUCAACUUGCAGACUUGAAUAAUUUGAAGACUUUAACAAGCAUACUUGGAGAAUUUGAAGUCUUUAAUU
rnacentral:pre_miRNA from 1 species